rnacentral:rRNA from 1 species
GUCGAACGAACCUGAUUCGGAUUCUUAGGAUGACGGAGAUGGUUAGUGGCGGAUGGGUGAGUAACGCGUAGGUGACCUGCCCCGAUGAGGGGGAUAACCAUUGGAAACGAUGGCUAAUACCCCAUGUGAUCGGCAAUUCGUUUUGUUGAUUAAAGCUCCGGCGCGUUGGGAGGGGCCUGCGUCCCAUCAGGUAGUUGGUAGGGUAAUGGCCUACCAAGCCGAUGACGGGUAGCUGGUCUGAGAGGAUGGUCAGCCACACUGGAACUGAAACACGGUCCAGACUUCUACGGAAGGCAGCAGUAAGGAAUAUUGCGCAAUGGACGAAAGUCUGACGCAGCAACGCCGCGUGGGCGAAGAAGGCCUUCGGGUUGUAAAGCCCUUUUCUGAGGGAAGAGAGAGGACGGUACCUCAGGAAUAAGUCUCGGCUAACUACGUGCCAGCAGCCGCGGUAAAACGUAGGAGGCGAGCGUUAUCCGGAUUUAUUGGGCGUAAAGCGCAUGCAGGUGGUUUCGUAAGUCGGAUGUGAAAGUCUCUGGCUUAACUAGAGGAGGUCGUUCGAUACUGCGGAACUAGAGGUCGGAAGAGGGAAGCGGAAUUCCCGGUGUAGUGGUGGAAUGCGUAGAUAUCGGGAGGAACACCAGUGGCGAAGGCGGCUUCCUGGUCUGCACCUGACACUAAGAUGCGAAAGCGUGGGGAGCGAACGGGAUUAGAUACCCCGGUAGUCCACGCUGUAAACGAUGGGUACUGGGUAUUGGUGGUAUUGACCCCAUCAGUGCCGAAGUUAACGCGUUAAGUAUCCCGCCUGGGGACUACGAUCGCAAGGUUAAAACUCAAAGGAAUUGACGGGGGCCCGCACAAGCAGCGGAGCGUGUGAUUUAAUUCGAUGCAACACGAAGAAUCUUACCUGGGUUUGACAUGUUGGUAGUAGUGAAGCGAAAGCGGAACGAUCCUUCGGGAGCCAUCACAUGUGCUGCAUGGCUGUCGUCAGCUCGUGCCGUGAGGUGUUGGGAUAAGUCCCGCACGAGCGCAAC